UCAGCCCAUUGUCUCCUGCUGUGUUGGUCGCAGGAUGGCUGAAAGUGGAUGACUAAUCCCAGUUUGUGUCUUUGCACCAGGAGUUUGAAAACACUGAGGGAGAGGAGUACCAGGCAGAUCUCUCAGCCCUUGCCUCGCCUUACUCCCAGAUUGGCCCUGAGGUGUACAUCCUUCCCCUUACUGAGGUCUCCCUGCAUGUCUCCAAGCAACCUGGCAGAUCCAGUCAGCCUGUUAAAAUGUGUAUGUUCGCGUAUGUAGUGUGUGCAAAUCUCCACAUAAGCCAGAUACCAAGUUCUCACAGUGCCUCUCCCUGCAUGACUCACUGGCUGUCUGUGCUCAGCAAGAAGGGAGGUGAGUUGGGGCUCAGCUUCCCAGGAUGUGAGCUUGAAUAAUGAUUGGACGAGGCAGCCCCAAUCUCAUAACCAAUCACUAUCCUCCCCUCUGUCCUCCAUAGCUACUGCUGUAUGAUUGGUCCAGGUGUUGCAGGGCGAGGAAUGGACAAAUGGUAAAAACAGACGAGACUGCGAAAGAGGCAAAAUGUCUCCUUUCAGUCAUUCAUAAGGAGAGUUGACUGCUAGUCAUUCUGCUCUAAACGCAGUAAAAUGCACUGGUUGUAUUAUCUUCUUUAUAACUUUUAAUUUGCUUUUGUAUGACAAUUUAUCAUUAAUAAGGGCAGUAAUGUGACAAAACUGAGACAUUUGUGUGAACAUCAAGUACGUCAUAAGUCAUCCAGCCCCAUACUAUCAAUCUUGAAUGGUGCUUUCUAUAUGGGCCAAACUCACACACUGACGAACAUACAGCACAAUAUUUGCCAUUGAUGUUUUUCACUUGUUUCUCUAAUCUUUUAUUCAAGAGGUCAUGUAAAGCUUUCAAGCCCACUACAGAGGCCCAACGCAUCAAACUGACUGUGUGAAGCAAUUGUGUGUGUAUUUGUGUGUGUCAUUCCACGGGCCCACCAACCCUGCAGUCCCACCGGACACCGCCACCUUCUCUGGGAAUGCCAUGAGUAGGACGGGAAUGCACACUCACGCUCACACAUUCCACAUUUGGAAUAAUAACACAUCUUAAUUUCCAUCUCUCUCUCUCUGUCCAUCAGGGAGGGGUGGUGGAGGCUAGAGGGUUGGGUGGAGAAGUGCUCUGUUAUCACCGUGACAACCUCUGCCCAGUGUUCCAGUGGAUAAUAGAACUUGUGUGUUUCUCCUUAUGAGUGUGUGUGUGUGUGUGUGUGUGUGUGUGCACGCUUGGUGCACUGGGUACCAGGAGCACAGCAUGAGUGAGUGAGUGAGUGAGCGAACCAAACAAUGCCUCUGAUUUAGGCCGGCUGGGCAGUGGGUGAGCAUAAGGCUGGGCUGAAACGUCCGUGGAACGCACCAGCGGAGGAAUGGCAUUAUGGGAAGAAUACAGUGAGGGGUCUGUAACAGAAUGAGGAGAGACAAGGGAAGGGUGGUGGCAUGCACCAGGACCUAAGAGCAGGGAGGGGAGGUUUCAGAUUAGGGUGGUGAGUGUGUAUGACAGAGGUCUUUUUUGCAUCUGACAGAGCAGUGUUUGUGUCCUGUUUGGCUGAGGAAUGCUGCUGUCCAGGGUGACAGGGGGGCAUUAUGUAGGCCUUAUGUCACUACUGGGUGUCUUGAAGCUGCAUGCAGAGCUGGCGUAUCAAACGGCACACUACCAACAUGCGUGACGGUCACAUCAGGCGUUAUACAUGACCAGAAAAUCUUGACGCCUUGCAAUCGUCCUCAGGACUCCUGCGUCGACCCAUCAGCAGAUCGGUCCAGUGACUCGAAGCAGGGCUAAGUUUCUUCCUUGCUCUGUUUACUGUCGGUUUCAAUGCAGCCUGUAUAGGAACCAAGGAUUUCGUUGUUUGUCUUACAGCUGGAGGGCUCUAGAUGAGGACAGUAUGUGUGUGUUUGUGUGUCCCAGUUGGAGGAUGAGCUCUGAGCAGACGGGGAAAGGCAGCAUGGCAAGCUUGUUCAGCUGUGCGAGGGCUCGGAGGGUUAAAUCCUGCCGAGGCUCUCUCUCUCUCAUGCUCUCACACACACACAGCGAUCGUGGG
rnacentral:lncRNA from 1 species